rnacentral:rRNA from 1 species
CAGCCGCCACGGGAAUACAGAGGGUGCAAGCGUUAAUCGGAAUUACUGGGCGUAAAGCGCGCGUAGGUGGUUCGCCAAGUUGGAUGUGAAAUCCCCGGGCUCAACCUGGGAACUGCAUCCAAAACUGGCGAGCUAGAGUAUGGUAGAGGGUGGUGGAAUUUCCUGUGUAGCGGUGAAAUGCGUAGAUAUAGGAAGGAACAUCAGUGGCGAAGGCGACCACCUGGACUGAUACUGACACUGAGGUGCGAAAGCGUGGGGAGCAAACAGGAUUAGAUAUCCCAGUAGUCCCUGUCUCUUAUAC